rnacentral:rRNA from 1 species
CCUACGGGUGGCAGCAGUGAGGAAUAUUGGUUAAUGGACGAGAGUCUGAACCAGCCAAGUAGCGUGAAGGAUGACUGCCCUAUGGGUUGUAAACUUCUUUUAUAAAGGAAUAAAACGAGGCACGUGUGCCUUUUUGCAUGUACUUUAUGAAUAAGGAUCGGCUAACUCCGUGCCAGCAGCCGCGGUAAUACGGGGGAUGCGAGCGUUAUCCGGAUUUAUUGGGUUUAAAGGGUGCGCAGGGGGCGGGUUCAGCAAGCGGUAAAAUAGCGGGGCUCAACCCCGUCGAGCCAUUUGAACUGGCGCGCUUGAGUGCAGGCGAGGUAGGCGGAAUUCGUGGUGUAGCGGUGAAAUGCAUAGAUAUCACGAAGAACUCCGAUUGCGAAGGCAGCUUACCAGUCUGCAACUGACGCUGAGGCACGAAAGUGUGGGUAUCGAACAGGAUUAGAUACCCCAGUAGUC